rnacentral:misc_RNA from 1 species
UCUAGAACAUUAUUGCCGAAAUCCAGAGAUAGGCAGACGCAGUCGCAAGUUGGUAGCAGGUGGCUAGAUCCCUCUCAAUCAUCAAUCUACAGCCAGGAGAAGACUAGGACGGAUUUACCUCUUCCAAGCUAUGGAUCUGUGGGACCGAUUCGGCGCAUACGGAAUAAAUUUGGCUCAGAAUCUCGCCCUAGGAAAUCCAUUUUCCUGAAUUCUCCAAAUGCUUCUUCACCUUUAGAAAAAGUUGGUGCUUCCAAAUUGUUCUUGCCUGCUGCUGCCGGAAAGAAUUUGGAAGUUGGUCAAACUAGUGGUCUGGAGAAGUACCAGUCAGUGGACCAUAGAGUAGGCACGUCUGAAGAACCUAUGCCACUCAUAAGUUCUUCAAAUGAUGCUGUAAGAAAAAUAUUAGAGCAACUUGAUAGACACAAACCCACUCCUGCAGAAAAGGCAGCUGAAUUGAAGCUGGCAAGCAAAUGGAAGAAAUAUCCCGGCAAAGAAAUCUCUGAUUCCACUCCAAAUGAUAAAAUGAAAUCAUCACAUUUAGGAGACUUUGGAAUACGUAUGAACAAUGGUCUGGCAGCUGCCCAAUCGUCCAAGGAAGGAGAUAAUGGAACAGUCAAUCGUGUGGAAAUACAUCAAGAGCAAACUACCCGUGGAACUGACACUGGUACGGAUGCUAGUACUAAAGCUGCUAGUAUAGCUAAUGUGUUAGGUACAACGGCUAAAGCCAAUACUGUCCCGCCCUUCACUUCUAAGGCAGCUGAUUCCCAAGUCAAAAGUUUCUUUUCUGGUUCUCACAAUCCAAGUUUGCGCAAGGACUCGAUACACACUGAUGAUGGACAGAAAGAUAAAGGUGCUACCCCACAGUGGCCUUCUUUCCGUAAUCAAAGCAAUGGGCAGAAUGCUGCAACGUUAUCCAACUCCACGGGUUUCCAGCUACCAAGAAAUGCUCCUGGACAAGCCUCUGGUGCAAAACCUAACUUGCCAUCCAUUUUUGUUAAUAAGCCCAAUCCUAGAAAUGCGACUUUCCCAGACAAUGGGUUUGGAUUCAGUUUCCCAGUCCCUGCGUCAUCUGGAGCACUCUCAGAACCACCAACACCAUCCAUGCCAUCUCCCGCAGCCGGUGUCCUCUCUCAGCCAGUGGAUGCAUCCACUUCUCCAGUGUACACCUUCGGCACUGGUAAAUCAGCUGAACGACUAGUCUUCUCUUUUCCCUCUACGAGCAAUGCAUCUGUUCCCGUGGAUGCUUCAGAUCUCAAGUUUAGCUUUGGAACAGACAGGAAAUCAAGACUAUCUUUUGGUGCAAUAGGAAAAGCAACAUGCUAGGAAGGUUUGUCAAUACUCUAGCUGCAGGAUUUAAACUCAAUGAUGGAAACUCUACUUCAUAAUAUUUUUUGUAUUCUCACCUACAUUUUGUUAUCUGCCACAGCUUUCAUUUUGAAGAAUGGAUGAAUACCUG